GUACACACCGCCCGUCAAGCCAUGGAAGCCGGGGGUGCCUGAAGUGCGUGACCGCAAGGAGCGCCCUAGGGUAAAACCGGUGACUGGGGCUAAGUCGUAACAAGGUAAC
rnacentral:rRNA from 1 species